GCGGCUGCGGUCACGGACAAACGUGUCUGUUCGGGAAUGGCAGAUGCUGAGAGGUCCAGCGUUUACAUUACCGACUAUUUCAAAGUGACAGCCUGAGGUGUUCUUCAGUAAAUUGGACUACCGGACAGGAGGACCUGAGGCCCCACCGCAUUAUUUUUGGAUGCAGCAGCAGACUGAACCUCGACUGAAACCUGCUCCAUCAUCUCAUCUUUGCAGAUGUCCAUUUAUAAAGCAUCAACAACUCAAAGGAGCCGUCCUCAGAUUCAGACCUCAGCACCACCCAGUGACAGCAGACAGAUCAUCCUAUAUCUUCAAUCUUUGUAGUAAAUCCAAAAUUAACUGAAGAAAACAGUACAAAGGUUAAAGUACCACAUGUGCUGUCAGUGAAAGCUGCAGCUGUUUUAUUGAUAAAUUUAAAGACAAAAAGUCAAAAGGAUUAAUCACCCCUUUAACUGUGUCACUAUACAUCAGCAUUAACAGUACCUCAGUUUGGUGUUUCAGAAAACUGCUGAUCUCAGACCUGCACAACUUCUGUUUUAAACACUGAAUGUACUCAGCUAUAUGAAGAGCACAUGAUGUUUUCUCUGACACAAUUAAAUAAAACCUGAUUAAAGUCAAAGGUUGUUACUUGUAUUUGAACUAAAAACUUGUGAUCUGGAAUUCUUUCACUGUUUUUUGACAAUAGUGUGUUAUUUAUCAUAAAGUAAUUCAGAGUCAUUCAUACCAGAGUAACCAGAGAGCACAACAUAUAUUUAACUUUCUACAGGACUUAA